GAUGAACGCUAGCGGCAGGCUUAACACAUGCAAGUCGAGGGGUAGAAGCAGCUUGCUUACUUGAGACCGGCGCACGGGUGCGUAACGCGUAUGCAAUCUACCUUAUACAGGGGAAUAGCCCAGAGAAAUUUGGAUUAAUGCCCCAUAGUGUUAUUGAAUCGCAUGUUUUAAUAACUAAAGUUCCAACGGUAUAAGAUGAGCAUGCGUCCCAUUAGUUAGUUGGUAAGGUAACGGCUUACCAAGACGAUGAUGGGUAGGGGUCCUGAGAGGGAGAUCCCCCACACUGGUACUGAGACACGGACCAGACUCCUACGGGAGGCAGCAGUGAGGAAUAUUGGUCAAUGGGCGCAAGCCUGAACCAGCCAUGCCGCGUGCAGGAAGACGGUCCUAUGGAUUGUAAACUGCUUUUAUACAGGAAGAAACAACUCUACGAGUAGAGUCUUGACGGUACUGUAGGAAUAAGGAUCGGCUAACUCCGUG
rnacentral:rRNA from 1 species